rnacentral:tmRNA from 3 species
GGGGCUGAUUCUGGAUUCGACGGGAUUUGCGAAACCCAAGGUGCAUGCCGAGGGGCGGUUGGCCUCGUAAAAAGCCGCAAAAAAAUAGUCGCAAACGACGAAAACUACGCUUUAGCAGCUUAAUAACCUGCUUAGAGCCCUCUCUCCCUAGCCUCCGCUCUUAGGACAGGGAUCAAGAGAGGUCAAACCCAAAAGAGAUCGCGCGGAUGCCCUGCCUGGGGUUGAAGCGUUAAAACGAAUCAGGCUAGUCUGGUAGUGGCGUGUCCGUCCGCAGGUGCCAGGCGAAUGUAAAGACUGACUAAGCAUGUAGUACCGAGGAUGUAGGAAUUUCGGACGCGGGUUCAACUCCCGCCAGCUCCACCA